GAUGAACGCUGACAGAAUGCUUAACACAUGCAAGUCCACUUGAAUUUGGGUUUUUACCUUAGGUUUGGGUGGCGGACGGGUGAGUAACGCGUAAAGAACUUGCCUCACAGCUAGGGACAACAUUUGGAAACGAAUGCUAAUACCUAAUAUUAUGAUAAUAGGGCAUCCUAUAAUUAUGAAAGCUAUAAGCGCUGUGAGAGAGCUUUGCGUCCCAUUAGCUAGUUGGAGAGGUAACGGCUCACCAAGGCGAUGAUGGGUAGCCGGCCUGAGAGGGUGAUCGGCCACAAGGGGACUGAGACACGGCCCUUACCCCUACGGGAGGCAGCAGUGGGGAAUAUUGGACAAUGGACCGAGAGUCUGAUCCAGCAAUUCUGUGUGCACGAUGAAGUUUUUCGGAAUGUAAAGUGCUUUCAGUUGGGAAGAAACAAAUGACGGUACCAACAGAAGAAGUGACGGCUAAAUACGUG
rnacentral:rRNA from 1 species